UGGGGAAUAUUGCACAAUGGGCGCAAGCCUGAUGCAGCCAUGCCGCGUGUAUGAAGAAGGCCUUCGGGUUGUAAAGUACUUUCAGCGAGGAGGAAGGCGAUGCGGUUAAUAACCGUGUCGAUUGACGUUACUCGCAGAAGAAGCACCGGCUAACUCCGUGCCAGCAGCCGCGGUAAUACGGAGGGUGCAAGCGUUAAUCGGAAUUACUGGGCGUAAAGCGCACGCAGGCGGUCUGUCAAGUCGGAUGUGAAAUCCCCGGGCUCAACCUGGGAACUGCAUUCGAAACUGGCAGGCUUGAGUCUUGUAGAGGGGGGUAGAAUUCCAGGUGUAGCGGUGAAAUGCGUAGAGAUCUGGAGGAAUACCGGUGGCGAAGGCGGCCCCCUGGACAAAGACUGACGCUCAGGUGCGAAAGCGUGGGGAGCAAACA
rnacentral:rRNA from 1 species